rnacentral:miRNA from 1 species
UGUUGAUAUGAUUAUUGCUAACUGGCUUAAGCAAUGUUUAGUGAAAAACGUUGCUUGAGCCGGUUAGCAAUAAUCAUAUCAACA